GACGAACGCUGGCGGCGUGCUUAACACAUGCAAGUCGAACGGUGAACCACCUUCGGGUGGGGAUCAGUGGCGAACGGGUGAGUAACACGUGGGCAACCUGCCCCUAGCUCUGGGAUAACCCCGGGAAACCGGGGCUAAUACCGGAUACGACCUCGAGCGGCAUCUCUCGAGGUGGAAAGGAUUCUGGCUAGGGAUGGGCCCGCGGCCUAUCAGCUUGUUGGUGGGGUAAUGGCCUACCAAGGCGACGACGGGAGCCGGCCUGAGAGGGCGACCGGCCACACUGGGACUGAGACACGGCCCAGACUCCUACGGGAGGCAGCAGUGGGGAAUAUUGCGCAAUGGGCGAAAGCCUGACGCAGCGACGCCGCGUGAGGGACGAAGGCC
rnacentral:rRNA from 1 species